GGAAAUUAGGUAGAUUCCCUCUGGUUUUGGAGGGAGAGCAGAUGUAGGGGUACCAAGGAUUUCAAUCAAAGAAGAAGACUCAUAUGUGCAUUUGGAAUUAGCUGAUUACAAUGAUCUUUGUGAACAUAUAAUUCGUAAGGGCGGCAUUGUGGUGCAGUGGGUAGCCCUGUUGCCUCUCAGCAAGAAGGUUCGAAUCUUGGCCUAGGCCUUUCUGUGUGGAGUUUGCAUGUUCUCCCCGUGUCCGCGUGGGUUUCCUCCAGGUACUCCGGCUUCCUCCUACAGU